GGGGGGGGCGGGUAAGGGGGAAAGGGUGAAAAACCUUAGUAAAGCAUAAACAAACCAAGAAAUUAAGAGAAACCCAAAAGAAUACAUAGUUCAUAUACCGUUUUAUAUGAAUGUGUGCAACACUUAUUAACCAUGGUGAAAGGCUAAUUGUGCCCUCCGGUCACUACAUGCACAGCCUGAUCGAUGCUGUUAAUGAAUUACCUGUGUUAACUUACAAUGCAACUACAGCGUGACCAAGAGCGCGCCGUCCUGGCCCGGGGGUCGGCUCUGGGCGCACGGCGGUGCUUCACAGGAUGGUACACUACGCAUGGGACAGGUCGGGAGGUGGGGGGGCGAGUGUGCGCGCGCGCACGUGCUUGCUUGUGGGGGUGUGCGCGCGUGCGUGCGAGAGACAGUGUGUGCUAUAACAUUCGUGUCAGUCUUUCUUGAACGCUGCAGUUCCUGAUCCUGGGACAGGCGCUGGGCUUCACGCUUCCGAAAGACUUGUUACACCAUCUCGUACUGGUUAGCAGUAAUAAACCGGGACAGGCAGCACGCCAGCAGCAUCCCGAUCAACUGUGAGAAUGCAAUUCCAAAAGCAACUCCAGCUAUAAUUCCC
rnacentral:lncRNA from 1 species